CGUUCCCGGGCCUUGUACACACCGCCCGUCACACCACGAAAAGUCGGCAACACCCGAAGCCGGUGGGCUAACCCCUUUGGGGAGGCAGCCGUCGAAGGUGGGGUCGAUGAUUGGGUG
rnacentral:rRNA from 1 species